rnacentral:lncRNA from 1 species
CCAGGCCACCUUGAGUCACUUUCAAGGAGUGUUCUGGGGGCUGACAGGGUUCCUACUACUGACCCCUUUCCAGAGAGGGGGACACUGAGGCCCAGAGACUGGAGAGACUCAUCAGAGGCCACAUGGCAAAGCAGCUGCUGGCUGGAAGGAGGCAGGAGAGAGCAGUGGCGAAGAGCAUGGGCCCUGGACCUUAGAUGGCUCUGGGUUCGAAUCCUCUGUUCACCCCUUCUCUGGGCCUCCGUUUCCCCGUCUAUAUAAUAGCAGUGCCCAUCCAGUAAAGUUGUAGUCGGGGCAAAUGCAGUUUAUGCAGGCCAGGCCCUCAGUUUUGCAGCUCGUCUGUAGUGGGCACUCAGCGGGAAAGGCUUGGUGGCCUCAGAGGCACAAGGGUCUGAGAUGAGACUGGGGGCAGCUGGGAAGAUGGGCCAGCACUGAAGGGGUGGCCUGAGGUGAGGUGACUUCACCUCUCUGGGCCUCUGUUUCCCCAUCUAAACGGUGGGGUGUGAAGAUCUGCUGAGACGCAGAGGCCAGUGGUACUGUAGACCUGAGGCACUACUUGGCUAAUCUUCACUUCAGGAGGCCACCCGGGGCAGGCAUGGGGUUCACAGGCAGCCCCACCCAGGACCCUGUGCUUACCCAAGACUGGCCUGUGGCCCUCCUGCCUCCUGGCCUCCAGGUCUGAGCUGGGUGGGGGCCAGCGACCCUGGCUUAGAUGCAGAGGGUUUCAGGAGCUGUGCUCGGUCAGACCUCUCAGCUGGCUGGGGCCCUGGGCGCUUCCUUUAGACUCGGGCUGGGGUACUGCCACCAGGGGGGAGGCUGAGGACACAAGGGCUCGUUAGGAUGCUGGUGUCAUGGGUCAGAGACUUGGAGCAGUCCCUCCAGCCAGUGCCAGUCAUGCCUACAGCUUGUCCCAGCUUCUCAACAGCUUUCUGCAGAGGCAGCCCCAACCUCACUUUAUACAGGAGGAAACUGAGGACCAGAGGGUGGCUGAAGAUUUGUUCCCGAUCACACAGCAGGUUGGGGGCAGAGCUCAGGCUUCCUACUGCCACCUCCCCGCAGGUCCUUACAAACAGGGAGGGUGUGUCUGGGCCAGAGGGUGGGCAGCCCAAGGGAGGAGAGCAGCGUGCACAAAGCUGGGCAGCAGGGAUCUCGGGGUGUGGGUGCAGGAGGAAGCCACUCGCUCUGGGCUGUGGCCAUGCAAUAGUAUUCACCAGUCCCUCACUGGGGCGCACCCCGGUCCUCCCUACAGGCCCAAAUACAAAGGCAAAUACUGUGUGGGUGAGCGGAAGCGCUUCCGCCUCUGCAACCUACAGGCCUGCCCCGCUGGCCGCCCCUCCUUCCGCCACGUCCAGUGCAGCCACUUUGAUGUUAUGCUCUACAAGGGCCAGCUGCACACAUGGGUGCCCGUGGUCAAUGACGUGAACCCCUGCAAGCUGCACUGCCGGCCCUCAAAUGAGUACUUUGCCGAGAAGCUGCGGGACGCUGUGGUCGAUGGCACCCCCUCCUACCGGGUCUGGGCCAGCAGUGAGCUCUGCAUCAACGACAUCUGUAAGAACGUGGGCUGUGACUUUGAGACUGACUUCGGUGCUAUGGAGGAUCGCUGUGGUGUGUGCCACGGCAACGGCUCCACCUGCCACACCGUGACUGGGACCUUCGAAGAGGCCGAGGGCCUGGGGUAUGUGGACGUGGGGCUGAUCCCAGCCGGCGCAUGUGAGAUCCGCAUCCAGGAGGUGGCCAAGGCUGCCAACUUCCUGGCACUGUGGAGCGAGGACCCGGAGAAGUACUUCAAUGGUGGCUGGACCAUCCAGUGGAACGGGGACUACCAGGUGGCAGGGACCACCUUCACAUACGCACGCAGGGGCAACUGGGAGAACCUCACGUCCCCGGGUCCCACCAACGAGCCUGUCUGGAUCCACGUGCCUGCCUCCUGAGGCCCAGGGUCGGGGAGCAGAGGCGCAGUCCCCAGGCCCAGCACCCCCCAUGGCAGGUCUCGUCCUGGAGGAGUGAGCCCUGGGUCAGUCACAGAGCCUGGCUCUGAGCCAGGCCCUCCUGCUGUGGCCUCUACCUUGGUUUCCCUAUCUUUAAAAUGGCCCAGUGGUGUAGCUGCAGUUCACAGAGGUGGCUGGGGUCGGCUCCUUUAGGACUGGGUGGAUGGAGAAGACACCUUGUGCUCACAGGCUCCUGCCUGCCCACCCAGCUGCUGUUCCAGGAGAACAACCCCGGGGUGCGCUACGAGCACACCAUCCACAGGGAGGCAGGCGGCCACGGCGAGGUCCUGCCGCCCGAGUUCUCUUGGCACUGUGGGCCCUGGACCAAGUGCACAGUCACCUGCGGCAGAGGUGAGAAGUGGGGCAGGCACAGCCUUGCCAGCAGAGGCUUUGUCUCUAGACAGGGACGCUGGCUUCAGCUUCCAGCUCACUGCUGGGCCACCACGGGUUUGGAAGUUGGCUUCUCUGAGCCUCAGUUCCCCAUCUGUGAGAUGAGGCUGGCAACUGCCCCAUGUCCCAGGCCCACUGGGAGGGUAAAUGGAUGAGGCAGGUGGGUGCUGGCUUGCGGCGCAUGCUCAGUGUGCUCCAGCUCUUGGCGUUCUCCCUCCAGCGGACACAGCUCCCUCUCGAUUGUGUCCUUGCUCAGCUCCGGCAGGUCUUGUGCCUGCAUUUCUGCUACGUCUUGGAGACCAGUCCAGUGGCCCCUCACCACCCUGACUUAUUUCCCUGAACUAGUUAUAAAAAGUAGGGCAAUUUCAUUAACUCCAACUCUUCCUCCCCAUAUUUCCCUCAGUCUCCCCGCAUGCUCCUCAGUCCCCCCUCUCUGUCUGUCUCCUCCCCACUGCUCCUCGGUCUCCCCUCCGCCCCUCCGUGUCCUCCCCACUGCUCCUCGGUCUCCCCUCUGCCCCUCCGUCUCCUCCCAUACUUCUCAGUCUCCCCUCACACCCCUCGGUCUCCCUCCUGCCCUCCAGUCGCACCCAUGCCCCUCGGUCUUCCUCUCCCCACUCGGUCUCCCCGGCCAUUCCUUGGUCUCUCUACACCUCAGUCUCCCCCUUUGUCUCUUAGUCCUCCCUUUUCCCCUCGGUCUUCCCAUCGUUGACACUCAGUGUCCUCAGGGUCUCAGAAUCGGGAAUCUGAGAUACAGACAUUUGAGCAUUCCUUAAAAUGCUAUUAUGAUGACAAAACGAAAAUGGAGAACUGGGCAGAUACCUUCCAAAGCUAGGAAACCCAUGUUAUCUAAUACAGAUGUUUAUUUUUAUUUUUUUUAUUUGAGAUGGAGUCUCACUCUGUCACCCAGGCUGGAGUGCAAUGGCGUGAUCUCGGCUCACUGCAGCCUCCACCUCCCAGGUUCCAGUGAUUCUCCUGCCUCAGCCUCCUGAGUAGCUGAGAUUUAUAGGUACGCACAACCAGGGUCCUGCUGAUGAGGUAAUGGGGUUUGAGGCAGGAAGGGCCUCCCUUCCAGGGUUCUGCUAAUCCCAGUGGUGGGGGGUUUCCUGGCCAGCUGGGUCCUGGUGGAAGGGCCUGAGCUAGAGGUGGUUCUGCACAACCCUGCUGCUGCCUCCAACACACACACACACACACACACACACACACACACACACACACACUCAUACACUUCCUUCCUGCAGCCCCAGCUGCUCUCAGCAGUGCUGAUGGCAGGAAACGUGGUGGCCCUGGAGUGUCACCUAGGCUCCCCUCACCAGUUGUGUGGCCUUGGGCUCCAUUUCCCUCUCAGGGCCUUCA